CGCAAAGCAAUAACUUGUUUUCAAACUAAUGGCAAGAGAUAAAUAAAUAGAGUACAAUACAAAUGUGACGGUUUUUAUUUACUUUAUACAAAGAGAGCUUUCCGUUGCGCAUGUACGGCCAUAUUGGAGCGCCACUGAGCUUUUAUGAAACCAACAAAGCUAAAACAGCAAGCACAAUGAGUUGUGUUGAGUAGCAAAGAGUGCGUCCGAAAGUGGCUGACGGCUAUUAUUGAUGGUGAGAACUUACUGCUAGGUGAGCGCGUAGGUGAGCUCUUAAAGAGUUGUCGGCGCACUUGUUGAAAGCGACUACAAAAAUAGCAACAAUAUGAAAUAUAUGAGUGCAGUUGGCGGCAUAAAGUGUUCAAAGGCAAAUGGCAACACUAAUUUAGUAGCAGAGUUUUUGUUGUUUGCUUUUGUAGUUGUUAUUUGCUUGUUAUUGUAUCAUAAAUGUUUUUUCUCAAUUAUUUUUUGUCGUUUGUUAUACAAAACUCAACCGCUGCCGAAGAUGUUUUUGUCGUAGUCAUCGGCGUCGUCGUCGUCGUAGUCGUAGUCAUCGUAAUCGUUGCCGUUGGUGUGUGGCAUGCGACGAUGACUAUGGGAGAAUCCGCUGCUGCCGCCGCAGCCGCUCGACACACUAUCGCAUGGGAAGUAUACAAUGCCGCCGCCGCUGCCACCACUACCACUACUACUACUACCAACACAGCAUUGUGGCGAAUGUUUAUAGAUUUUCAGUCGAAUUUUGUUAUUUCACGUACAAAGUGGCGCGCGCGGGCCGCCGCUCUAGCAAAUCAUAUGAAAUCGUGACGUUAUAUAGAAUAAUUUGUGUCGAAAAUUGUAACAACAACAAGAAUAAAAACAACAAAACAUAUUAACACAUAUAAUUUACUUGGUGAAAGGUGUAAAAUGCAUGGUUCGGUGCAAGUGGCAAAAGUGAGAAAAAGGUGAUGUUCUAUGAAAGCGGUAAUAAAUUCGUAAUUUGUAUGCCAUACUCAGUAAAACAAAACAAAUGUAAAUAAUAUUAAAUAAACACGCAAUAAACGGCAUUUGUAAAAAUAAAACGGAAAAAAUUACAGCGCAGCCGUGCGUGAAAAAACAACGCAAACAAUUAAUUGUAACAGCAACAGCAAAAAGGUGAAAUAA